rnacentral:rRNA from 1 species
ACGAGGGCUAGGGGAGCAAACCGGAUUAGAUACCCGGGUAGUCCUAGCUGUAAACACUGCCCACUUGGUGUUGCCUCUCCGUUGAGGGGAGGCAGUGCCGGAGCGAAGGUGUUAAGUGGGCCGCUUGGGGAGUAUGGUCGCAAGGCUGAAACUUAAAGGAAUUGGCGGGGGAGCACCGCAACGGGAGGAGCGUGCGGUUUAAUUGGAUUCAACGCCGGAAAACUCACCGGGAGCGACCUUUAGAUGAGAGUCAACCUGACGAGUUUACUCGAUAGAAGGA